AAGGGCCGCAGUAUUCUGACUGUGCAAAGGUAGCAUAAUCACUAGGUUUUUAAUUGAGAUCUUGUAUGAAUGGCUGGACAAGAAAAAUACUGUCUUUAUAUGAAAAUUUGAAUUUAACUUUUAAGUGAAAAGGCUUAAAUGAGCUAAGGGGACGAUAAGACCCUAUAAAACUUUACAUUAUAAUUUUAAUAUUUAUAAAUUUAUUCGAUAACAAUCAAGUUUAAUUUAUUUGUUAUGUUGGGGAGACAAAGGCUAUAAUUAAUAUUAACUGCUUGGGAGAAAAACAGAGAUUAUAUGAAUUUAUAGAGGAUCCUUUAUAGAGAUUGCAAGAUUAAGUUACUUUAGGGAUAACAGCGUUAUUUUUUUAAAGAGUCCAUAUCGAAAAAAGAGAUUGCGACCUCGAUGUUGAAUUAAAAUAUCUUUAUAAUGCAGGUGUUAUAGAAGAAGGUCUGUUCGACCUUUAAUUUUUUACGUGAUC
rnacentral:rRNA from 1 species